UUUGAGAGGAGUGGUUCUUCUGUUUCUAGAGAAGAAUUUCGAAGUUCUUUAUCUCCUAUCUUUUCUGAUACACUUGCUGUUGUUUAGUUGGAGAAUACACUUUCACCAGCAAAGAGAAGAUUGUUAAUGAAAUAUAUGUUCAAAGGAUAAUAUUUAGGAAGGGAUGUGUCUUCACAAGUACUCAUCACGUCGAUUUAUUAUGUCUUAUAAGAAAAGGAAUGUAAGAAGAGGAGCAUGAGACUCGCGAGUUACCAGUUUUUGGUCUCAAUCUAUUGGCGCGAAUUGUUCACAAGUUAACGCUCUAGACGUGGAUCUUGAUCAUCCUUGUUGUUGGUGUUGUUAAGAUGUGAGCCGACAGAUAGCCAUAAAAAUUUAUCGUCCUCGUAAUUACAGGUAGUUAACAUUUCUUUUUUAUUCGUCUAAUAUACUAAUUUAUAGCUCAACAUGCAAUUUCUGCAUUAAUAAUGCUCGCGAGUCAAGAUAACAUUGCAUUUGAUAGAUAUUCGUGGAAAUAACGUUUGAACGUGUCCUCUGUAGAGCUAUUGCGUCAUAUUUUUUUUCAAAUUUUUAAUCCUUAUUUUCGCGAUAUUUAU